rnacentral:tRNA from 1 species
GGCGGGGUAGCUCAGUUGGCAGAGCGUGGGACUCAUAAGCCCAAGGUCCCGGGUUCGAUCCCCGGCCCCGCUACCA